GUAAAUAAACCAAAGCGGUGUUUAUAAAUUCGCGUUUCAUACUCGUCAGGCUAUUUAAAGAGUCAAGAAAAUCUGAUACUCGGAACUCGGAAAAUGUGCAAGUAACCGAACCAUAGUUAAAUGAUCGCGUCACGAUUUUCAGAUCGUCAGUUCGUCGAGAUCAGCCGAGUCGAAUGGUUGACUGAUCAUUCGUCGACUCGUGUAUAUCGUGAUUAGUGUAACGAAACAGAGGCCCCAGUUCGUGGAGGGAUUAUCAGAGAAACAACGCGUGCGCCGCUUUCCUUCUACGAUUAAUGAUAUCAGGAACUCUUGAAAAAUCGUUUUACGUAUCUUUAAUCACCACUCAAAUAGACCAUUCGAAAAUAGAAUUUAUAUUGGAUAGUCUAUGGAAGGAUAAGCUCGGUCUAUUGACACUGUACCGAUCUGUCAGUCAAACUGUACGGACCUAUUGACGUCUUUUGCGUCAGCGUUGAGCAGUUUACCAGGGAUAGACAGACAUUUCUCUUCGAACAUGACUAAAUCGCAUCUAGAAAAGUGAAAAUAUUUUUUCCAGUCGGGGCCCAGUUGAUCAAGAUUAAAUUGGAUGCUGUUCUCCGGUGAAGUGCGGGCCAUCGUCCACGCGAGUUGAUCUCGUAACAAGUCUAUGUCGAUUUCAACAUCGAAUUAAUGCGUAAUCUUCAUCUCGUCGAUUUCUUGGUAUUUCGAAGGCAAUUGCAAAAUGAGAUUGUUACCUGUGGUGGUGUUUUGCGCGGUAUUGUCGGUAUGUUACGGAUACCGGAUAUUAGGGGUAUUUCCUUUCAAUGGGAAGAGCCAUUUCGUAAUGUUCGAGCGGCUGAUGAAGGUUUUGGCGAAGAGGGGUCACCAAGUUGACGUGAUCAGCACGUUUCCCUUAAAGGAACCGUAUCCUAAUUAUACCGACCUGAUCGUGCUUCCGACAGCGAGGGAUUUCAUGAACAAUUUGACCUACGAAGAAGUAAUGACGAAAUUCAGGACAUCGAUUCCAGCCGCUGUGGCCACGAUGGCAGGGAACGUUGUUUGCGAACAUUUGAACCACCCGGAGAUUCAGAAAUUUAUCCGUAAUCCGCCUAAUGACCCACCUUACGACCUGAUAAUCAUGGAGGUGUUUGGCGCACACUGUUACGCGAUACUGGGCGACAUCUUGAAGGUGCCAGUAAUAGGUGUCAGCACGUGCGUUCUUUAUCCAUGGAUUUCCGAUUACAUCGCGAACCCGGAAAACCUGGCGUUCGAGCCAACCAACCUCCUCUCCUAUCCUCAGAAAAUGAACUUCUGGCAGAGGCUGCACAACGUCGUGAACAACAUCUACGCGAAAUACGAAUUCAACUCGAUCACCAGCGAACAGACCGCGAUGUUGAGGAAGUACGUGAACCCGGAUGCACCUGACGUGAGGGAAUUAGAGAAAAAAGUAUCGAUGAUAUUGGUGAAUUCGCAUGUGUCGAUCAACGGAAUUAAAGACUCCAACCCUGCGUUCAUCGAAAUCGGAGGACUGCACGUGACAGAAGAAGGAGUCAAGUUACCGCCUAGCCUGGAGAAAUGGAUGAACGAGAGCACGCAUGGGUUCAUCUACUUCUCGUUUGGAUCAAUGGUGAAGAUCGAAUCCUUCCCGGCUGGCCAUAUCGAGAUAUUUUACAAUGCCAUGAAGAAGAUAGCACCUGUUCGUGUUCUGAUGAAGAUAGCGAAAUCGGAGGAACUUCCGCCUAACUUGCCCAAGAACGUCCUUACUUUACCGUGGAUACCACAGAUCAAAGUUCUCAAGCAUCCGAACGUGAAAGCGUUCAUCACUCAUGGGGGCCUCAUGGGUACUCAGGAAGCUAUUCACUUUGGUGUGCCUCUGGUCGGUAUACCGCUGUUUGCCGAUCAGUUUAUCAAUAUCAAGAACUAUGUUCGACACAACAUUGCGGUAGCACUGCACAUUGAUACUCUGAAUCAGGAGGAUCUGGAUCACGCCUUGAACGUUGUUCUACACGACCCCAAAUACCGAAACGCAGCACGGAAAUUGUCGAGAAGGUUCCUGGAUCGACCAUUAAGCGCAGAGGAGACCGCGGUUUAUUGGGUCGAAUACAUUGCAAGACACGGUGCAAAUGUCCUCAGAUCGCCAGCGAUGGACUUAACAUGGUGGCAAUUGUAUUUGGUGGAUGUUUACGUAUUUCUCCUAGUGGCGGCGCUCGCGGUGACUUAUCUUAUAGCGACUUUGGUGCAAUUUGUGUUCUACGUAGCUUACACAGGUUCCACUGUUCCGCGCAAGAAGAAGGUUUCAUAACUACUUUCUUUCCCCUACUUUAUGUUGAGUUGAUGAUGUGAAAUGUCGAUUCGCUUCUCCUCGAUUUUAUCGCUGGAUCCACUUUUAUCGAAGUAAAGUAUUUCCGUGUUAUGGCCGAGUACGCUCGAAAAAUCAACAACAACACGCAACGUUGAAAAUAAACAUUUUUAUCGAUGGUGCGCGUCCUUUCCUGCAUUUCUGCUCGCAGAAAUUCGCAAUUUGCACAUCGUUGGUCAAUAAAAAUAAUGUACUAUGAUGUUGA
rnacentral:misc_RNA from 1 species